rnacentral:rRNA from 1 species
UACGGAGGGUGCAAACGUUGCUCGGAAUCAUUGGGCGUAAAGCGCACGUAGGCGGCCCAGCAAGUCGGGUGUGAAAGCCCUCGGCUCAACCGAGGAAGUGCAUUCGAAACUACUGGGCUUGAAUACUGGAGAGGAUCGCGGAAUUCCCGGGUGUAGAGGUGAAAUCGUAGAUAUCGGGGAGGAACACCAGUGGCGGAAGGCGGCGAUCUGGACAGAUAUUGACGCUGAGGUGCGAAAGCGUGGGGAGCAAACAGG